UACGAAGGGGGCUAGCGUUGCUCGGAAUUACUGGGCGUAAAGCGCACGUAGGCGGCUCUUUAAGUCGGGGGUGAAAUCCUGGAGCUCAACUCCAGAACUGCCUUCGAUACUGGAGAGCUUGAGUUCGGGAGAGGUGAGUGGAACUGCGAGUGUAGAGGUGAAAUUCGUAGAAUAUUCGCAAGAACACCAGUGGCGAAAGGCGGCUCACUGGCCCGAUACUGACGCUGAUGUGCGAAAGCGUGGGGAGCAAACAGG
rnacentral:rRNA from 1 species